UUUGGUAACAAUGCAGUGUGGUAAUGGAAUGGAUACUAAAAACCACCGUGUGUGUUUCAAAAAUUGCUUAGAGAAGUGCCAAAUAGAUGAUUACACAUGUCAGUUGAAGUGUGAAGCACGUUGCCCUUCCCCACCACCGUCUCUUCUAGUUGAGACAAAAGAAAACCCCUAUAUGUGUUUCAAAAAUUGUGAAGAAGAGUGCCAAAUACAUGAUCACGCAUGCCAGUUGAAGUGUGAAGCACUUUGCCUUUCCCCACCACCGUCUCUUCUAGUGUAUGUACUUCAUAUCUCUUCUUUUAUAACUUUUUCUUCUUGUUUAAAACAUUAUUGAAUAUUAAAUAUUGUAUUGAAUGGAUACAACUACUAGUGAGACAAAAGAAAACCCCUAUAUGUGUUUCAAAAAUUGUGAAGAAGAGUGCCAAAUACAUGAUCACGCAUGCCAGUUGAAGUGUGAAGCACUUUGCCUUUCCCCACCACCGUCUCUUCUAGUUGAGACAAAAGAAAACCCCUAUAUGUGUUUCAAAAAUUGUGAAGAAGAGUGCCAAAUACAUGAUCACGCAUGCCAGUUGAAGUGUGAAGCACUUUGCCUUUCCCCACCACCGUCUCUCUCAGCGGAUGAAGCAGUCAUGGCGCCAGAAGAAGGUAAAAGCGAUAUGUGCUACCGAGAUUGUAGCAACAAAUGGGGCCUUGACUCAGCUCGUAUGGAACGUUGUUUGAAGACCUGCCCCACGAGUGCUACUCUUUUUUAGUUCCCAUACCAAAUUUUCACUUAUAGUAUGCUGCGUGUUUUUUUUCACACACAAUAAGAUUUCAUAUUAAUGUAUUAUGAAUGUUUUGACUUCUUUAAUCUCCCAGAAUAAUUAAUGGAAUACGAGUCAAAA